rnacentral:rRNA from 1 species
AGCGAACGCUGGCGGCAGGCUUAACACAUGCAAGUCGAACGGUCCUUCGGGAUAGUGGCGGACGGGUGAGUAACACGUGGGAACGUACCCUUAGGUUCGGAACAACACAGGGAAACUUGUGCUAAUACCGGAUAAGCCCUUCGGGGGAAAGAUUUAUCGCCUUUGGAGCGGCCCGCGUCUGAUUAGCUUGUUGGUGAGGUAAGUGCUCACCAAGGCUACGAUCAGUAGCUGGUCUGAGAGGAUGGCCAGCCACACUGGGACUGAGACACGGCCCAGACUCCUACGGGAGGCAGCAGUGGGGAAUCUUGCGCAAUGGGCGAAAGCCUGACGCAGCCAUGCCGCGUGGAUGAUGAAGGUCUUAGGAUUGUAAAAUCCUUUCACCGGGGACGAUAAUGACGGUACCCGGAGAAGAAGCCCCGGCUAACUUCGUGCCAGCCGCCGCAGUAA